AAUGCAACAUGGAGGGGUCAAAAGAGGCAUUGCUUUACGUGAGGGUCUUAUGUUGCCUUUUGUAGCAGGGACUGUGGCCAAGCCCCACCUGUGCUUCUACCUGCUGAGGAAACCAGAUGAAUUUUUUCAGUCUCACACCAUCUUGUAAGCAAGAGGUAGAAAGCCAUAAGCAGAAGAGAGAAAAUGGAUGCAGUUGUGACAGCAAGUCAGCUGACCAUGCCAAUUGUCUGAUGGAUACCAGAUUAGAGCACCCAGGGUAGGGAAACAAUGAUCAGAAAGUAAUUUGGGCAGCUGGUGAACUGUGGAGCUCACCAAUCUAUGAGUUCUCAAACACACACAAACUGUGCCUUCAUGGUUCAAGGAAGAACCGACAUUACGCCCGAAAGGAUUAUCAAUCACCAACUGCACAAUAUCAUCUGUUGUAAAUUGGGAGCCUGAUUAAUAACAGUGAUUCAAGCAUGGUCCUUGAAAAUUGUGAAUUUUAUUGACUGACUGGACUGGUGACUUUCUCUUUUCAUGUUGUUUGCUCUCAAUUUGUGGUGCUUUCAGUUACUGAUACUGUAUACUACUAUUUCUGUUAUGAUUGUUUUCCACAUUAUAUAAAGUCAAUAGUGAAGUACCAGGUGAAGCAGGUAAAUUUUUCAUCGAUUGUGUAUAAGACUUGUUUCCCUGCUUUUGAUUUUUUUUUUUCCUCAUUCAUCAGCGAUUGUACUGCACCUCUGUUUUCUACUCUUGUCACUGUGGGAAUAUCUAGAAAACAAGGAGAAUUAUCUAAACCCACUA